CCUACGGGAGGCAGCAGUGAGGAAUAUUGGUCAAUGGCCGAGAGGCUGAACCAGCCAAGUCGCGUGAGGGCAGAAUGUCCUAUGGAUUGUAAACCUCUUUUGUCAGGGAGCAAAGUCACCCACGUGUGGGUGUUGUAGAGUACCUGAAGAAAAAGCAUCGGCUAACUCCGUGCCAGCAGCCGCGGUAAUACGGAGGGGGCAAGCGUUAUCCGGAUUUACUGGGUGUAAAGGGAGCGUAGACGGCAAGGCAAGCCAGGAGUGAAAGCCCGGGGCCCAACCCCGGGACUGCUCUUGGAACUGCGUGGCUAGAGUGCAGGAGGGGCAGGCGGAAUUCCUGGUGUAGCGGUGAAAUGCGUAGAUAUCAGGAGGAACACCGGUGGCGAAGGCGGCCUGCUGGACUGCAACUGACGUUGAGGCCCGAAAGCGUGGGGAGCAAAUAGGAUUAGAUACCCCUGUAGUC
rnacentral:rRNA from 1 species